GAUGAACGCUGGCGGCGUGCUUAACACAUGCGAGUCGAGCGGAAAGGCCCAAGCUUGCUUGGGUACUCGAGUGGCGAACGGGUGAGUAACACGUGGGUGAUCUGCCCUGCACUUCGGGAUAAGCCUGGGAAACUGGGUCUAAUACCGGAUAGGACCACAUUUUGGAUGGUGUGGUGGAAAGUUUUUCGGUGUGGGAUGAGCUCGCGGCCUAUCAGCUUGUUGGUGGGGUAAUGGCCUACCAAGGCGUCGACGGGUAGCCGGCCUGAGAGGGUGUACGGCCACAUUGGGACUGAGAUACGGCCCAGACUCCUACGGGAGGCAGCAGUGGGGAAUAUUGCACAAUGGGCGCAAGCCUGAUGCAGCGACGCCGCGUGGGGGAUGACGGCCUUCGGGUUGUAAACUCCUUUCGCUAGGGACGAAGCGUUUUUGUGACGGUACCUGGAGAAGAAGCACCGGCUAACUACGUG
rnacentral:rRNA from 1 species